CUUUACUGCAGCUUCGCCUUGGCGUUAGCGGCAACAUGUGUAGGAUAGGUGGGAGGCUAUGAAACCGGGGCGCCAGUUCCGGCGGAGCCAUCCUUGAAAUACCACCCUUGUUGUCGCUGACGUCUAACCGCGGCCCGUUAUCCGGGUCCGGGACAUGGCGUGGCGGGCAGUUUGACUGGGGCGGUCGCCUCCCAAAGUGUAACGGAGGCGCGCGAUGGUGGGCUCAGAGCGGUCGGAAAUCGCUCGUCGAGUGCAAUGGCAUAAGCCCGCCUGACUGCGAGACUGACAAGUCGAGCAGAGACGAAAGUCGGCCAUAGUGAUCCGGUGGUUCUGCGUGGAAGGGCCAUCGCUCAACGAAUAAAAGGUA
rnacentral:rRNA from 1 species